ACAGACCCUCCCUCACAGCCCUCAGGAGGGACCAAUCCUGCCGACACCCUGACCUGAACUUCAGCCUUCAGAACCAAGAGACAAUGAACGCCUGCCAUUGAAGCUACCGUCUUCAGCACUUUGUUAUCACAGCCCUAGCAAACUCACAGAGGAGCAACUGCCACCUGGUGCCAGCAUGCCUUCCAGUACUCAGCCAUCUCCUCAUGAAGCCUAGGAUGUGAUUCUUGUGCCUCUAGCUCUUUCCUGAGGGGCACUGGUACCUCCAGGACCUGGAGUGUACUGGAAGAAAUGGGGCAGUCCAGGUACAGCAUGGACCCCAGAUCACCCCCACCCCACUCCCUUUCAAUGAUGAUUAUGUCUUAUGAACUAGGAGGGGGAGUGGGGCAGAGAUGCCUCUUUCAUGGCCCCCUGCACACACAGAACCCCUUUGUACUGGGCACUUCUACUCCCAAGCACCCUGACUUGCACCUAGCAGCUAAGGUCAUCUCACCCCCAUCUCCCACCUGCCCCUGGGCCAGCAGGAGGGGCUUGGCCAUGUGUAGGUGAGACAGGACUUCUUGAAGCUGAAAGAUUUCCCACCCCAUGAAAGAGCCAGAAUGUGACAA
rnacentral:sRNA from 1 species